UGAAGCCUUAGAGGAAAAGCUAGAUUUUUGUGGAGAUGUGUGGCUCGGGCUUUAGGGAAACCUAGGAAGAAAGAAACUGGAGGGUCUCCGAAGAAAAGACCUAAACUUCUGAAGGGAUACUGAAAUAUACUAAUUGAAAGAUGCUACAAUACUGAAAACAUAAAUUCUUAUCGAUGGAUGUGUAACAGUCUAGAAUUCCCUAAAGCCUAGUUCAUUUUUUCGUAUGCUAGUUCUACAUUAUUUCAUACAAGUAACAGGAUCAAUAAUCCCCCCGUACCUUCUUAUCUGUUGCGUAAAUUAAUUGAUCAAAAAACAUCUCUAUUUCUCGUAGAAUAAUAUAAAUUACUGCUAGCAAAUUAUGUUGAUGGUAUAUUCAAAUUCAAGCAGUUGAUCAAACUCAUCCCAAUAGUAACAAAAACACUCUACAUGGGGAAGACAAUGGCUUAAACUUUGUAGAUAACAACCAUACUCUUUCAACAACAAUAAAUUAUACCCAA